GAUGAAGAACGCAGCGAAAUGCGAUAAGUAAUGUGAAUUGCAGAAUUCAGUGAAUCAUCGAAUCUUUGAACGCACAUUGCGCCCGCUGGUAUUCCGGCGGGCAUGCCUGUUCGAGCGUCAUUUCAACCCUCAAGCUCUCCGGAGUUUGGUGUUGGGGCGCCUGGGGCUUUUCGACCUCAGGGCCCUCAAGUCCAUCGGCGGGACCGCCAGGACACUGAGCGCAGUAGUAUUAUUUCGCUCGGUAGGAUCUUCCACGGCGGGUCGAUCUGGCCGCUAAACCCCCCAAUUCUCACCAAAGGUUGAUCUCGGAUCAGGUAGGAAUACCCGCUGAACUUAAGCAUAUCAAUAAGCGGAGA
rnacentral:misc_RNA from 1 species